rnacentral:rRNA from 1 species
AUUGGUGCUUGCAUCAUGAUUUACAUUUGAGUGAGUGGCGAACUGGUGAGUAACACGUGGGAAACCUGCCCAGAAGCGGGGGAUAACACCUGGAAACAGAUGCUAAUACCGCAUAACAACUUGGACCGCAUGGUCCGAGUUGAAAGAUGGCUUCGGCUAUCACUUUUGGAUGGUCCCGCGGCGUAUUAGCUAGAUGGUGGGUAACGGCUCACCAUGGCAAUGAUACGUAGCCGACCUGAGAGGGUAAUCGGCCACAUUGGGACUGAGACACGGCCCAAACUCCUACGGGAGGCAGCAGUAGGGAAUCUUCCACAAUGGACGAAAGUCUGAUGGAGCAACGCCGCGUGAGUGAAGAAGGGUUUCGGCUCGUAAAACUCUGUUGUUAAAGAAGAACAUAUCUGAGAGUAACUGUUCAGGUAUUGACGGUAUUUAACCAGAAAGCCACGGCUAACUACGUGCCAGCAGCCGCGGUAAUACGUAGGUGGCAAGCGUUGUCCGGAUUUAUUGGGCGUAAAGCGAGCGCAGGCGGUUUUUUAAGUCUGAUGUGAAAGCCUUCGGCUCAACCGAAGAAGUGCAUCGGAAACUGGGAAACUUGAGUGCAGAAGAGGACAGUGGAACUCCAUGUGUAGCGGUGAAAUGCGUAGAUAUAUGGAAGAACACCAGUGGCGAAGGCGGCUGUCUGGUCUGUAACUGACGCUGAGGCUCGAAAGUAUGGGUAGCAAACAGGAUUAGAUACCCUGGUAGUCCAUACCGUAAACGAUGAAUGCUAAGUGUUGGAGGGUUUCCGCCCUUCAGUGCUGCAGCUAACGCAUUAAGCAUUCCGCCUGGAGAGUACGGCCGCAAGGCUGAAACUNNAGGAAUUGACGGGGCCCGCACAAGCGGUGGAGCAUGUGGUUUAAUUCGAAGCUACGCGAAGAACCUUACCAAGUCU